rnacentral:rRNA from 1 species
AUUCACAUGCAAGUCGAACGGUAACGGGCCUUCGGGUGCCGACGAGUGGCGAACGGGUGAGUAAUGUAUCGGACACGUACCUUUCAGUGGGGGAUAACGUAGCGAAAGUUACGCUAAUACCGCAUAUUCUGUGCGCAGGAAAGCAGGGGAUCGCAAGACCUUGCGCUGAUUGAGCGGCCGAUAUCAGAUUAGCUAGUUGGUGAGGUAAAGGCUCACCAAGGCGACGAUCUGUAGCGGGUCUGAGAGGAUGAUCCGCCACACUGGAACUGAGACACGGUCCAGACUCCUACGGGAGGCAGCAGUGGGGAAUUUUGGACAAUGGGGGCAACCCUGAUCCAGCCAUGCCGCGUGAGUGAAGAAGGCCUUCGGGUUGUAAAGCUCUUUCGGCCGGGAAGAAAUGGUAUCAGCUAAUACCUGGUGCGGAUGACGGUACCGGCAUAAGAAGCACCGGCUCACUACGUGCCAGCAGCCGCGGUAAUACGUAGGGUGCGAGCGUUAAUCGGAAUUACUGGGCGUAAAGCGUGCGCAGGCGGUUUUGUAAGACAGGCGUGAAAUCCCCGGGCUCAACCUGGGAACUGCGUUUGUGACUGCAAGGCUAGAGUACGGCAGAGGGGGGUGGAAUUCCACGUGUAGCAGUGAAAUGCGUAGAGAUGUGGAGGAACACCAAUGGCGAAGGCAGCCCCCUGGGUCGAUACUGACGCUCAUGCACGAAAGCGUGGGUAGCAACAGAUUAGAUACCCUGGUAGUCCACGCCCUAACGAUGUCAACUAGGUGUGGGUGGGUAAAACCAUUUAGUACCGGAGCUAACGCGUGAGUUGACCGCCUGGAGUACGCGCAGUUAAACUCAAGAUGACGGACCCGCACAGCGUGAUGAUGUGAUAUCGAUGCACGCGA